rnacentral:misc_RNA from 1 species
GAAGAAGAGAGGAAAGCAUCCAUGCUGUCAAAAAAGAAAAUCAUGAGCCGCCAUUUGGAUGCUUAUAAAAUAGAACCAGAAUUUAAAUCCAAAAUGAGCUGCUCUCUGGUUAGGGAAAAAGGUUUUAUUCUAAUGCUUUGGUAAAAUGAAUAAGGAAGUUAGUGACUAUCAAGUCAGUAAUGUCACAUUCAUUUAGUACCUGUUUCUAUUGGUUUCAUGCAA